AUUGAACGCUGGCGGCAUGCUUUACACAUGCAAGUCGAACGGCAGCGCGGGCUUCGGCCUGGCGGCGAGUGGCGAACUGGUGAGUAAUGCAUCGGAACGUGCCCAGUUGUGGGGGAUAGCCCGGCGAAAGCCGGAUUAAUACCGCAUACGCCCUGAGGGUGAAAGGGGGGGAGCGGAAGGCCUCGCGCUCUUGGAGGGGCCGAUGUCGGAUUAGCUAGUUGGUGGGGUAAAGGCUUACCAAGGCGACGAUCCGUAGCUGGUCUGAGAGGACGAACAGCCACACUGGGACUGAGACACGGCCCAGACUCCUACGGGAGGCAGCAGUGGGGAAUUUUGGACAAUGGGGGCAACCCUGAUCCAGCCAUGCCGCGUGCGGGAAGAAGGCCUUCGGGUUGUAAACCGCUUUUGUUCGGGAAGAAAUCCUCUGGGCUAAUACCCCGGGGGGAUGACGGUACCGGAAGAAUAAGCACCGGCUAACUACGUG
rnacentral:rRNA from 1 species